AUUGAACGCUGGCGGGAUGCUUUACACAUGCAAGUCGGACGAGUGGCGAACGGGUGAGUAAUGUAUCGGAACGUGCCCGGUAGCGGGGGAUAACUACGCGAAAGCGUGGCUAAUACCGCAUACGGAAAGGCACUAUUGGAGCGGCCGAUAUCGGAUUAGCUAGUUGGUGGGGUAACGGCCUACCAAGGCGACGAUCCGUAGCUGGUUUGAGAGGACGACCAGUCACACUGGGACUGAGACACGGCCCAGACUCCUACGGGAGGCAGCAGUGGGGAAUUUUGGACAAUGGGGGCAACCCUGAUCCAGCCAUCCCGCGUGUGCGAUGAAGGCCUUCGGGUUGUAAAGCACUUUUGGCAGGAAAGAUGACGGUACCUGCAGAAUAAGCACCGGCUAACUACGUGCCAGCAGCCGCGGUAAUACGUAGGGUGCAAGCGUUAAUCGGAAUUACUGGGCGUAAAGCGUGCGCAGGCGGUUCGGAAAGAAAGAUGUGAAAUCCCAGGGCUUAACCUUGGAACUGCAUUUUUAACUACCGAGCUAGAGUGUGUCAGAGGGAGGUGGAAUUCCGCGUGUAGCAGUGAAAUGCGUAGAUAUGCGGAGGAACACCGAUGGCGAAGGCAGCCUCCUGGGAUAACUGACGCUCAUGCACGAAAGUGUGGGGAGCAAACAGGAUUAGAUACCCUGGUAGUCCACGCCCUAAACGAUGUCAACUAGCUGUUGGGGCCUUGGUAGCGCAGCUAACGCGUGAAGUUGACCGCCUGGGGAGUACGGUCGCAAGAUUAAAACUCAAAGGAAUUGACGGGGACCCGCACAAGCGGUGGAUGAUGUGGAUUAAUUCGAUGCAACGCGAAAAACCUUACCUACCCUUGACAUGCACAGGUGCUGCAUGGCUGUCGUCAGCUCGUGUCGUGAGAUGUUGGGUUAAGUCCCGCAACGAGCGCAACCCUUGUCAUUAGUUGCUACGGCACUCUAAUGAGACUGCCGGUGACAAACCGGAGGAAGGUGGGGAUGACGUCAAGUCCUCAUGGCCCUUAUGGGUAGGGCUUCACACGUCAUACAAUGGUCGGCAGAGGGUUGCCAACCCGCGAGGGGGAGCCAAUCCCAGCCGGUCGUAGUCCGGACGCAGUCUGCAACUCGACUGCGGAAGUCGGAAUCGCUAGUAAUCGCGGAUCAGCAUGUCGCGGUGAAUACGUUCCCGGGUCUUGUACACACCGCCCGUCACACCAUGGGAGUGGGUUUUACCAGAAGUAGUUGCCUAGGGCGAUUACCACGGUAGGAUUCAUGACUGGGGUGAA
rnacentral:rRNA from 2 species